GCGGGUGGUGUCCACCCGUGCCAUUACCACACCGCUCUCAGGCUCAAGUUCCCUAAUUACAAUGCGGGUGUCAAGCGUUUUGUGCGCGCAGGUACAGUAAAAAACCUCAUUCCCUCCCUGCUCGUGCUACGUUUGGCCGCCUGCUCCGGGGUCAUUACGGCUCCGUUAAUUAAAGAGGGCAGCAGCCAACGCAGCCCGGGCCCAGGGGGGGUUCAUACCGGCUGCCUGCAGGGGAAAAACGAAGGGUUUUUUUUGGGGGGGAGCUGCACCCGGGGCCGGCGGAUAAAGAGGAGCCCGGGUCGCCCCUCGACGGCUCGGACGGCGAAGUGGGGGGCGAGGGGAGUCCCCCCAAGGCGGCUGUCGGGGCCGCGCUCCCCGCGUCCCUUGGUGACCCCCCUUCACCCCCGGUGCUUCGCCGGCGGAGCGUCGCCUGCAGACACAACAAAGCCGGAGCAGCGCCGGAGCAGGCAGAGCUCCAACGUUUUGACGGGUGGAAGAAAAACAUCAACAGAUACCUCGCAAUUAGCCGGCGAUGGGGGGCUAGGGGAGGCGGGCGGGGGAGAGGUCGCUUCGCAGCGGCGGACGCUAAUUGCAACCUUUGCUUUGCUAAUGAGCUCGCUCCGCUCCGUGUCUCCCCCCCCCCCCCCCCCUCCGGAGGUUUUUUUGGGGGGGGGAGGGGGCGUGGGGAGCAAGCCGUCACUUUUGUGCGAGCAGCAAUUCGGCUCUGAAUCCAUCCCGUGGCCGGGAGGCCAGGCUUCAGGCGCUGGCCGGGAGCGCUCCCGUUCCCAAACCGGGGCUGCGGGUGCGCCCCCUGCCCCUGCACGGCCCCCUCGGGCCGAGGGAGCGAUGCCAUCGGGGCCGGGAACCCUCCCGGUGCCCCACACCCUACAAACGCAGCGCCGGAGACCCCCGCCGAAACCCCAAGGCAGCGGCACUGGAUCCGCAGCGGGCGCCCGGCACUGUUUAAACAAUCCUCUUUCUGCUUCGGACGGUAUUAUCAGGACUUUGGCAUUAUCGGUCAAUGGAAAACAUCCUUCUUUUCCUUAUUUCAAAUAUUUAUUUAAAUAUAUAUAUUAA
rnacentral:lncRNA from 1 species